rnacentral:lncRNA from 1 species
CGGGUUGCCCAAGAACUGCAGCUCAGAGCAGUAGGAAGCCAUGGCGAUCUCUGCGCCCUUGAAGCCGUAGUCCAAGCUCGGGUUGCGGCCACCGGACAGGUUGGACGGCAGGCCAUUGUUGUAGAAGUCGUUCACCAGCUCUGAGAACUGCGCGAACAUCAGCUUGCCAAUAGCAGCAAUGGCAAGACGGGUGUUGUCCAUGGAGACACCGAUGGGGGUGCCCUGGAAGUUACCACCGUGGAUCGCCUUGCCACGGGAGACAUCGAUGAGCGGGUUGUCGUUGACAGAGUUGAUCUCACGCUCAAUUGACUUGGUGGCAAAGCGAAUGACUUCGAUCUGGGGCCCGAGCCAUUGCGGUGAUGUGCGGAGCGCGUACCGGUCCUGCUUUGGCUUCAUCAAUGGGUCGAGCUCGCCUUGCUUCUUUGCCUCCUUCAUGUAGGAGCUUCCUUCCAAGAUGUGCUCCAUGAUUGCAGCCGCCUCAAUCUGUCCAGGGUGGUGCUUCAGCUUGUGGGUCAGGUGGUCGGUGAACUCCGGCUUGCCGGUCAUGACCUCGCAGAACACGGCAGACAGGACCUCAGCAAGGAUAGCCUG